rnacentral:rRNA from 1 species
UAGGGAAUCUUCCACAAUGGACGAAAGUCUGAUGGAGCAACGCCGCGUGAGUGAAGGAGGUUUUCGGAUCGUAAAGCUCUGUUGUUGGUGAAGAAGGAUAGAGGCAGUAACUGGUCUUUAUUUGACGGUAAUCAACUAGAAAGUCACGGCUAACUACGUGCCAG